GUGUGUUUAAUCACUACAAAUGAAAUGAUACAGAUGAUACAGGUAAGAUUAGCAUGGCCCAUGAAAAGGAUGGCAUGAAAAUUAGAGAAACAUUCCAUGUUUCA